UACGUAGGGUGCGAGCGUUAAUCGGAAUUACUGGGCGUAAAGCGUGCGCAGGCGGUUUUGUAAGCCAGAUGUGAAAUCCCCGGGCUUAACCUGGGAAUGGCAUUUGGGACUGCAAGGCUUGAGUGCGGCAGAGGAGACUGGAAUUCCAGGUGUAGCAGUGAAAUGCGUAGAUAUCAGGAGGAACACCGAUGGCGAAGGCAGGUCUCUGGGCUGACACUGACGCUCAUGCACGAAAGCGUGGGGAGCAAACAGG
rnacentral:rRNA from 1 species